AUGAUCUGCUGUCUUCUGGUUCAGAUGCAUAAAUCAAUUAUUAGGAAAGAUGCUUACCUGAAGCGAACCUUAUUGUCGUCUGGGUUCGGGUGUCCUCUCUGCCCCAAUUUCAAGACAGAAAGUGAUGAAGUGAUCCAGAGGCACUUGAGCAACCACAGUGCAAAUGCUGUUAUUUUCCAGGACAAAUUCUGCAUCUGCAGGUGCAACUUAUCCUGCAGGGCUGGAGGCCACUUCCAUUGUCCUUUUUGUGACGGCACUAUUAUGCGUAAAGACGAUAUGGUGUCACAUCUGUAUGUGUGUCCAAAUGAAUGUAAAAUGAUUCAGCCUUCUCUGGUGGACUCUUGUAAGUCACCUUCACCAGAGACCUCGCCCCAUGAAGUGAACCAGAGGCAUUUGAGAAACCACAAUGCAAAUGAGGUUCUUUUCAAGGGUUUUUAUAUGUUGUUUGGAUCAAGUAAUGUGAUCCAACCCACACUGGAGAAAUGUUGUGAGCCAUCUUCAACAGAAACCCAGUCUUUAAAAGAGGAUCUAUCACCAGUGCAUAAAUCAAUUAUUAGGAAAGAUGCAUACCUGAAGCGAACCCUGUUAUCAUCUGGGUUUGGGUGUCCUCUCUGCCCCAAUUUCCAGACAGAAAGUGAUGAAGUGAUCCAGAGGCAUUUGAGGAACCACAAUACAAAUGCUAUUAUUUUCCAGGACAAAUUCUGCAUCUGCCGGUGCAAAUUGUUCUGUCAUUUUGAAGGCCACUUCCAUUGUCCUUUUUGUGGUGGGACAGUAACUAAAAAGAAAGAUAUGACAUUCCAUCUUACCACUUGUCCAAACAAAAGUAACGUGAUCCAACCCACACUGGAGAAUUCUUCUGCAGACCACUCCUACCGGCAAGCAGCAUCACCAAAGACCCUGACACCUGCCACGGAUUUUGAUCAGACAACUGCUACCACCUCAGAAAAACCCACAAUUCAAGAGAGAGAAGUAAUUCUGCCACUGACCAAGGCUGAAAGUGAUGAAGUGAUCCAGAAACUCUUGAGAAACCACAAUGCAAAUGCAGUUCAUUUCCAGGACUUGUCUAGUAGAGUUGGAGGCCACUUCCAUCCUUCUUUUUGUGACAGUACAAUAACUACCAAGGACUUGAUGUUCCAUCUUACCACGUGUCCAGAUAAAAGUAAUGUGAUCCAACCCACACUGGUGGAAUCUUACAAAUUCUGCGUCUGCAGGUGCAACUCAUCUGCAGACCACUUCCAUUGUCCUUUUUGUGACGACACAAUCAUUCGUAAGGAAGAUAUGAUAUUACAUCUGAAUGUGUGUCCAAAUAAAAAUAAGUCAACCCAAUCCACAUUGGUGGAAUCUGCAGACCACUCUUAUGCAAAAGCAGCUUUACCCAAGACCCCCACACCUGUCACAGAUUUUGAUCAGACAACUCCUGCUACUACCUCAGACCAACUCAUGAUUCAGGAGGAGGAAGUGACUGUGCCACUGACCAACGUGCAUGAAUCAGUUAUUAGGAAUGAUACGGACCUGAAGCAAAGCCUGCUAACAUCUGGGUUUGAGUGUCCUCUCUGCCCCAAUUUCAAGACUCAAAGUGAUCGAGUGAUCCAGACGCAUUUGAGCAACCACAUUGCAAAUGGAGUGCAUUUCCAGGAAAACGUAAUCUGCAGGUGCAAUUUGCCUUGUAGAGCUGGAGGCCACUUUCAUUGUCUUUUUUGUGACAAGACACUAACUAACAAGGACAGUAUGGCAUUACAUCUGAUCAGAUGUCAAAACAAAAGUACAGUGGUCCAACCCGCACUGGUGGAACCUCCACCAGAGACGCAGCCUUUAAUAGACCCUCUGGAACCAUCAGGGAGUGAAGACCACUCGGUGUCCUCACAAACUGCAGAUCAUGCUUUCACACAAACUCCCACACUCAUCACAGCUUUUGAUCAGACAACUCCUGCUACUACCUCAGACCAACUCAUGAUUCAGGAGGAGGAAGUGACUGUGCCACUGACCAACGUAAAGUGUCCUCACUGCUAUAUUAUUCUAUACAAGCAGAAUUUGGGAGAAUAUAUCAAUAUGAGACAUAGCCAACUUAGAAAUGACAACAUUAUAGAGGGAUUGAAUAAAAAUGUUUUAGUCUGUUUUAUAAGCAUGUGGAUACAAGUUGAGAGCUGUAGUUCAUCUUACUAUAUUUGACUUUUAGGUAGAUAAAGGAUUAUCAAUGUUCAGCCUGUCAGUUUUUAUAACAAACCAAUGUUUACUAAGUGAUCUGUUUUUUUCUGGUUCAGGUGCAUAAAUCAAUUACUUGGAAAGAUACAUACCUGGAGCGAACCCUGUUACCAUCUGGGUUUGGGUGUCCUCUCUGCCCGUAUUUCAACACUGUAAAUGAUGACGUAAUCGAGAGGCAUCUGAGAAACCACAAUGAAAAUGGAGUGCAUUUCCAGG
ensembl:lncRNA